AACGCACAUUGCGCCCAUUAGUAUUCUAUUGGGCAUGCCUGUUCGAGCGUCAUUUCAACCCUUAAGCCUAGCUUAGUAUUGGGAGUCUACCGUGAGCGGUGCUGCUACCUCGUAGCCACCCCGUAGUUCCUCAAAUCGAACGGCGGAGUCGUAGUUGCCUCUGAGCGCAGUAAUUUUUAUCACGCUUGGGAGGCGCUACCGCCCCUGCCGCUAAACCCCCCCUUUAUAAUGGUUGACCUCGGAUCAGGUAGGAAUACCCGCUGAACUUAA
rnacentral:misc_RNA from 1 species